GGGCCCGCACAAGCGGUGGAGCAUGUGGUUUAAUUCGAUGAUACGCGAGGAACCUUACCAGGGCUUAAUGUAAGUUGCAUUAGUUAGAGAUAGCUAUUUCUUCGGACAGAUUACAAGGUGCUGCAUGGUUGUCGUCAGCUCGUGCCGUGAGGUGUCAGGUUAAGUCCUAUAACGAGCGCAACCCCUGUCGUUAGUUGCCAGCAUGUCAUGAUGGGGACUCUAACGAGACUGCCGGUGCAAACCGAGAGGAAGGUGGGGAUGACGUCAAAUCAUCACGGCCCUUACGUCCUGGGCCACACACGUGCUACAAUGGCCGGUACAGAGAGCAGCCACUACGCGAGUAGGAGCGAAUCUACAAAACCGGUCUCAAGUUCGGAUCGCAGUCUGCAACUCGACUGCGUG
rnacentral:rRNA from 1 species